GCCGGAGCGAGGUACCCCUGAGCACUGGGAUGCAAAAUUCUGAAGAAUUAUGCCUGUUUGCCCACUGGUCAGGAGUACACAUGGUCAUAGACUGAUUAAAACAAGAUUUUCUGCAGAACGUGGCUGAUUUUCCAAAGUGCAGUGACGCAGUUCCUUUUUGCUCCCUAUCCCCACCAUACCCUCUCUGGACUGGAUUCAUGAGAAGACAGUUUUCAGUUGAAGAAACUCAGGCACUUAUGGAAACAACACUGAAUAGAGCUGCUUCCUAUGGCCUUCUCAGGCCAAGUGAUGAUGAGCGUGGGACUGUGGAGUCAGUUCAUCUCCAGUCAAGGCUGUGCUCGAGAAGAGUCUACAAGUAUGGGACAGGGUCCUGGAAGGGUGCCAACAGGGGCUUGCACAGGUCUAUCAGGAGGAAGAAAGUUAAUUAAAAGUCCGGUUAAGUUGGCUCAAAAGAAUAAUAAAUCAAAAAGUUCAUCAGGAGGAGCUGAGUGGGACAUGAUCCAAAGGAUCAAAGUGCGGGUCAGAAACGGGAUGAUUGGAAACAAAGCCAGCUCAGGAACUCACCUUGGGAUUGCUGAGACAAUGCUCUGGCAACAUCUUAUGCACAGGUUGGUGAGCGAAGCUGGAGAGGGCCCUCGUCCUGACAAUACCAGAGCCUGGAUAGAUCCUCAUAAUUUGAUGGGAAGGGAACAGUCUUGAGAGACAGUUUUGCAAGUGCUGGUUUUAGAGCAUUGUUUUCCUGGUUUGUCAAGUGAGAGAUCUGUGUUGAUAAUGUCUAGUGUUUGUGAAUAAUAACAUUCUUUGACACCAUCUGGAUAAGGCACCUAAAGCACUAGGCUCAUGUCUCUCCUAGAACCAGCCAGUCCUCCCUCAACCUUUGCAAAUCUAUCCCUGGUGCUGAUGUUCAGCAUGUGCAUGUGCAUAACAUCUGAGGAGAGCAAACAGCAGGGGCAGAGCCCCAGGACACCCAUCCUUCCUCGGCAGCGGAAGGUACCUCAGUUAGCACCUUCUACAGGAAGGAAACGCCUGUGGAGAG
rnacentral:lncRNA from 1 species